CCUACGGGAGGCAGCAGUGAGGAAUAUUGGUCAAUGGGCGUAAGCCUGAACCAGCCAAGUCGCGUGAGGGAUGAAGGUUCUAUGGAUCGUAAACCUCUUUUAUAAGGGAAUAAAGUGCGGGACGUGUCCCGUUUUGUAUGUACCUUAUGAAUAAGGAUCGGCUAACUCCGUGCCCGCAGCCCCGGUAAUACGGAGGAUCCGAGCGUUAUCCGGAUUUAUUUGGGUUAAAGGGUUCGUAGGCGGCCUUUUAAGUCAGCGGGGAAAGUCUGUGGGUCAAACCUAGAAUUGCCGUUGAAACUGGGAGGCUUGAGUAUGUGAGAGGCAGGCGGAAUGCGGGGUGUAGCGGUGAAAUGCAUAGAGAUCACGCAGAACCCCGAUUGCGAAGGCAGCAUGCCAGGGCAUGACUGACGCUGAUGCACGAAAGCGUGGGGAUCAAACAGGAUUAGAUACCCGGGUAGUC
rnacentral:rRNA from 1 species